CGCGAGGUAGAGCAGUGGCAGCUCGUCGGGCUCAUAACCCGGAGGUCGGAGGUUCAAAUCCUUCCCUCGCAACCA
rnacentral:tRNA from 1 species